AGAGGCCAAGGAGGCCAUUACCUCCAAGACAGCUAUGUGGUCACGAGGAGAGUCAGGACAUGUGGGUCUAAGUCCCUGAUGUCCCACAAGACCUUGACAAAGUUGCUGAACCCUCUGGGGCCUCAACUCCUUCAUCCGCAAACUGGGCGAACAGUAGCUACUCCCAAGCUUGCUGCACAGAUGAAAUGAGACCAGGCCCACUUAGCCUCUUUGUGAACCACAGGGACUCCCACAACAUGUGAGGCCCACCCACGCCUCAGACACUGGGCUCUGAGAAAAGGGGGUGGCAACAAUUGAGCUCCAGAAGCAGCCAGACUGCUGCCAGGCCAGGAGCCCAGGGCAGCCAGGAAGGAGGCCACUGCUGGGCCCAGGAGGCAGCAGGCGGAGGGUUCUCCAGGAUGGAAGGGUCCAGGAAGAAAUGAGAAUGUUUGCUCCUCAGGCCACAGAGGCAGGUCUCAGCCCUGGCCCAUCAGAGGAUCCAUGCAGGAAGCCACUUCAGCCUGCUGCCCACUGCUCACCUCCUGCACAGACCCCAUGCCAUCAGAGACCAGGGCGAAAUGACUUGCUCUCCUCUGCCCCAUAUCCAUGAGCAAGCCAGGCGCAUCCUACCUUCAAUCCCAAGACCCAGGCAAGAGCUGCUCAAGAAAUUUGAGGUGAAGUGACUUCUUUACUUUUUAAGUUUUCCAAUCUGAUGCCAACAGAUAUUUUUGUGAAAUAAAAUUAAAAAUGAUGUGGCAAUGUCAAGUUGCCAAACAAGUUUCUCAAGGCUUUCUCUCAAAGUCUGCAUGUCUCUCACCAUACACCCAUCCAGCACAGCUCAGGAUGGGCAGAGGUCUGCGGACCACGGUCUCCAUUGCCUGGCAGAGCCACUGUGCUCCCAGUGUUCCAAGAGGAACCUGGUGCAGGGC
rnacentral:lncRNA from 10 species